AGCUAGCUGGAUGAAUGUUUAACUUCUAGGCCAGGCACUACUCUGUCCCAACAAUAAGCCCUGUACAUUGGGAAAGGUGCCGAAGACAUGAACUUUGGUCUUCUCUGCAAUCCCUCUGGAGCAUUCAGUGACAACGUCGACUUUGAAGUUGCACUGACCUGGCCAGCCCUGCCACUUACCAGGUUGGGCUGUGGCUUGCCUUUUCACUUCUUGUGUCCUGUUUAAGAAAUAUCUGCUAUCCCAAGAUUGCAAACUCCUAGAGAAGGGCUCAACAGUGAGUGUUGAGGCUGCACAGAGGAGGAAGGUAGCACAAUGAUGGAAGGCUUCCUAAAGAGAUAACACUAACAAAGUUGACCUUAGAAUUGGAGUGCCCGGGUUAGAACCUUGCUGGUACCACCUGCUUACUGCAUGCUUCUGAUGUGAGUUCAGGAGAAGCCACUGGCAAGGACAGCAAAGAACAGGAGAACACUCUAGCUUCCCUGAUAGCAUUCAAGGUGCUGUCCAAAGCUCUUGAGUUUCUGCUUUCAAGUGACCCUCAGAAAUGCCCCCAUUCACUGCAGAGGUUCUGUUUCUCCUUGUUUUGUUCCGACUUUAUGGCAGAACUAGGUUAAUGAGUUAAUUACUAUGAGUUAUCACUUGGAUUUGAAGAACCAUCAUUUCUAGGCUUUGCUGCUCAGAGUGGGUUUGCCCUCAGGGGAAGCUAUCUAACCAGAGCCUAACCCACUAGGGUUUUAUCAGAACCUAACUGGCCUGAGGAAAAGAAAUAUUCAACUCCAGCAAGCUCCAGCCUUCCAAACGGAGGAGGAGAAAACCCAAAUCCAGCCCACUUCAGCUAUCUUGUCCCACAUAAAGGGGGAGUGGAAGAAACGUGAGAAGCAGGCAUGAAGUUCACAGUCCGGAGAUGACAUGAUUGUCUAUGCAAAAAA
rnacentral:lncRNA from 1 species